rnacentral:rRNA from 1 species
GACGAACGCUGGCGGCGUGCUUAACACAUGCAAGUCGAACGGUGAAGCGCCUUCCUUUUUGGUGGGUGUGGAUGAGUGGCGAACGGGUGAGUAACACGUGAGUAACCUGCCCCCUUCUUCUGGAUAACCGCAUGAAAGUGUGGCUAAUACGGGAUAUUCUGGGUCUGUCGCAUGAUGGGUCUGGGAAAGAUAUUGUUUCGGUGGGGGAUGGGCUCGCGGCCUAUCAGCUUGUUGGUGGGGUGAUGGCCUACCAAGGCGGUGACGGGUAGCUGGCCUGAGAGGGUGGACGGUCACACUGGGACUGAGACACGGACCAGACUCCUACGGGAGGCAGCAGUGGGGAAUAUUGCACAAUGGGCGCAAGCCUGAUGCAGCGACGCCGCGUGAGGGAUGGAGGCCUUCGGGUUGUGAACCUCUUUCGCCAGUGAAGCAGGCCUGCCUCGUUUGUGGGUGGGUUGACGGUAGCUGGAUAAGAAGCGCCGGCUAACUACGUG